rnacentral:lncRNA from 1 species
CUUGAAGUCACCUGACUUUCUCUCACAAAAGGUUGGGCCUUCCAGCUCAAAGCCCUUUGUUCCUGAGCCUCUUUUUCCAGGAAGCUGGUCUUGAGAAAAACACCUGCUUUAGGGACAGGAGCUACUCACCGUAAAAGUCACUUGGAGGCCUGACUGCAUGGGGUGCAGCGUCCUUGUGAAGAGUCCUCAGAUGGCUCUAGAGCUGGCAGUGCUGCUUUUCAGUAUUCAGGUAUACUUUGCUAUUUGCUUUUUUUGUGUGAUAUUUUUAUCUACCCCAAUACCAGCAUUUCUGUGGAUGUAAUACUAUUAAUUCCGACAUCGGGCCACCACUCUGUUGACCCUUCUUGGCUCUGUCUCCAAUCCCUUCACCGGUCCCUCAAUCAUGCCUGAUAUUUUUCUAGUUCCUCUUUAUCCCUCAGCUCUGACAACUUCCCAACCCCCUCACAUCUACCACGGCCCCCACAGAGAAGAGAAAAGAAAAAAGCCCACAGACGCCCAGCCGAGGAUUCCUCUGGGCGAGGGGAGGCAUCAGAACAUGCUGAGAGCCAGAAGAUGUCCCAGAUUGGCAAGAGAGAAAUGGAAAUGACUUCAGUUUGGCCCCUGGCCCGAUGGGAGUUGCUGCCCAGAGGUAGUGCCCCUGAGCGCUGCGCUGCACUGGGGGAAGCCACACAGAGCUGGGUAGAGAAACCCUCUGGGCAGUGCCAGUAGCAGCUCCCACGGGUUCCCUGGAUGGAGAGACUGAAGGCAAAGGAAACAGUAAAGUCUGGAGGGACAAGGGAGAUGUUUUGUAAUAUUUACAUUUUUUUUUCUGAUUUUAUGAAUUCUGUACACUUCAAAUAAUAUAAAAUGCCAGUUCUAACACUGGAGUUUCUGUAUUCCCCCAAAUAAAAAUGACAUUAUUAGACUUGUCCUCUUGUUCCACCAUUGCAAUCCCUCCAUCACCACAGCCUUGAAGAGCUGGGAUGCCCUGGGCAAUCAGCACACUGAGACCAGGGUGUCUGCCUCCCUCAGGUGCCUAUGGACCAGAAGGCGAAACCAACUGGGCCUGGCUCCUGGAAAGCGAGAGAACCAGGGGACCACAACAACAAGCCCGGGCUCCGUGCAGGGGAGGAGCGUUUCUGGCACAGAGACACCUGUGCCUGCACUCAGAAAGAUUAAUAAGAGUUCUGGAGUGGAAGAAUGAGGAUGGAAAAGCUGACUUGGAAUGGAAAACUCAACUGGUAGGAGGCCCUUCCAUGACCCUCUGGCCAAAGUACUGCUACAUUAUUUUAACUCUGUGUGACCAAGGGUUUGCGCCGUCAGAAGAUCCAGAAACUGUACGUCACCAACACUGCACAGAGCUCAGUGACAGUUACCCAAGGAGAAACUGCAGCUGAGUGACAGACCUACACUGCAGAUUCCCCGUGUGUCACCUUCAGGUUUUCUUUUUCACA